AUUAAGCAAUGAAAAUACCCAGGUUUUAAGGUAUUACUGAAGAUUUGUUUUAAUUCUGAGAUCAAUAAUUAGAUACAGGAGAUUCAUGUGUUUGGAAAUUAGUCCAGAAAUUGUAAAAGCCAAUAUUUUUAUCUUUUUGUAUUAAAUUUUAAUUAAAUAUAUAAUGUUUUUUCUUUCCUACUCUUCCCACAGUCUACAGAUUUGAAAAUUAAGAGAUGUCACACAUGCUGAGUGAUGAGUGGGCUCUGGGAGAGAGAAACUUGUUCUUUUUUAUUAACAUGUCUGCUUUGUUCCUCUUACAGUUUGGAACGCUGAGCCUUACAUCCCAUAGUAGAAGUAAGAUGACUUAGCUACAUGAAUAGUAGUAACUACAACCAAAUUCCGCAUCAAGAAGAAAAACAUAAACCUGUCCUUUACAAUUGUAUCUCUGGAUAUAAAUUCUGAGACACCAAGAAAUUUCAGUGUGAAAGACAGCUUACUUACAUUAACGUAACACUGAAGUCUAGUAAGUCAUGUUAUUGUUAUCAUCCAUCACCAGCACUUGGAAAACAUUCUUACUUUGCUUGGAAUCAGAAACCUGCUUUGGGAUUUUUACCACCACUCAUGUGGAUGUCCUACUCAGCCUGCUCCGGAUGAAACUCUCCAAAUUAGAAGAACAUUUUUUAGAAAUUACACAGGAAAAAAGUUGACCAAGAUGGUGACAUAAGGAACCUCCUGAGCUCCCUUCCUUCCAUAGACACACUGAAUGUACAGCUACAUGUGGAGAAAUUCCCUCUGAAAGGGGAAACUAGCUGAACCACUCAUAAACAUCAAAUGAACGAGGAAAUACCCACUUUGAACCAGCAUCUGUGCUUGUCAGGCUGUCACUGGCAAUGUGUGAAAAUGCAAGGAAAAAAACAUGGCCAAUGACCUUCGUAAACUCACAUUCAAGAGGCUUCCUGGUAUCAUAACAUGUUAUUAAUUAAACUAUUGACAGUUUGAAGAAAAAAGUCAGUAUUUAUCAACAC